UGGGGAAUAUUGGACAAUGGGCGAAAGCCUGAUCCAGCCAUGCCGCGUGUGUGAAGAAGGUCUUCGGAUUGUAAAGCACUUUAAGUUGGGAGGAAGGGCAUUAACCUAAUACGUUAGUGUUUUGACGUUACCGACAGAAUAAGCACCGGCUAACUCUGUGCCAGCAGCCGCGGUAAUACAGAGGGUGCAAGCGUUAAUCGGAAUUACUGGGCGUAAAGCGCGCGUAGGUGGUUUGUUAAGUUGGAUGUGAAAUCCCCGGGCUCAACCUGGGAACUGCAUUCAAAACUGACUGACUAGAGUAUGGUAGAGGGUGGUGGAAUUUCCUGUGGAGCGGUGAAA
rnacentral:rRNA from 1 species